CCUACGGGUGGCAGCAGUGAGGAAUAUUGGUCAAUGGCCGGAAGGCUGAACCAGCCAAGUCGCGUGAGGGACGACUGCCCUAUGGGUUGUAAACCUCUUUUAUCAGGGAAGAAUAAAUGCUACGAGUAGCAUGAUGCCUGUACCUUAUGAAUAAGCAUCGGCUAACUCCGUGCCAGCAGCCGCGGUAAUACGGAGGAUGCGAGCGUUAUCCGGAUUUAUGGGGUUUAAAGGGUGCGUAGGCGGUCUUUUAAGUUAGUGGUUAAACGUCGGGGCUGCCCCUAGAUUAGCCAUUAAUACUGGAAGUCUCGAGAUCAGGAGAGGUAUGCGGAAUAAGUAGUGUAGCGGUGAAAUGCUUAGAUAUAACGUAGAACUCCGAUAGCGAAGGCAGCAUACCGGACGGCGAGUGACGCUGAGGCACGAGAGCGUGGGUAGCGAACAGGAUUAGAUACCCGAGUAGUC
rnacentral:rRNA from 1 species